UACGGAGGGUGCAAGCGUUGUUCGGAAUUACUGGGCGUAAAGCGUGCGUAGGCGGUUCGUUAAGUUCGUUGUGAAAGCCCCGGGCUCAACCUGGGAAUGGCAAUGGAAACUGGCGGGCUGGAGUAUGGCAGAGGGGGGUGGAAUUCCGCGUGUAGCAGUGAAAUGCGUAGAGAUGCGGAGGAACACCGAUGGCGAAGGCAGCCCCCUGGGCCAAUACUGACGCUCAGGCACGAAAGCGUGGGGAGCAAACAGG
rnacentral:rRNA from 1 species